UCUUUAUUCUUUAAAUUUAAGAG
rnacentral:snRNA from 1 species